UUCGCACUCAACCCACUGUAGUGUGUAAACCACCGCCCUUCUCUCCCCCGGCCCCCCCACUCGCAAAUCUCCUGCCUGGAGCAGUGGUUAAAAGGCUGGCAGCCAAACAAUUACGGUGGACACUGGUGUCUUGAUUUGCAAAGGAUACCCUGGUUCUGUUCCUGAAUUUGGGAGAAAAGCAUUGGCAACUCUGUGAAGCAGGAAAGUCUGCAGCAGGUGCUCUACAGGCGAUGCCAGUCUUCGUUGCCAGACAGUGAGCAGCGUCGUGCUCGAUCGGGGCCCUCUUCCUCCUCCUCAGCACCCCCCAGGGAGAGGCGGCGGUCCCAGCGCAAUAAGCAGGCGCUGGAGCUGGAUCCUCUGGGGAGCAGCCCCCCCUCAAGAAACUGCCGGAGAGUGGUUAGCUCAUUUUCAAG